CGAGCACGUACGUAAACAUUAUAUUUUAUUAAAUAAUGUCUCAUAUCCCGGAUCACGAGUUCACCGACUCCUCUGCAUGCCUUAUCUUUUACAAUGUUGCUUCCAGCUCUGUACUCGAUUCAAAAUGUAGUACACGCAGAUAAUCGCAGAGUUCUAGUUAACCAUUGUUCGUUUUACUCACAGAAUCAACAACGCCUAAAAAUACUGUCACAACGGCGUCACCGGCAUAUGCUAAUAUACGAUGCAAGAGUGUUACGUGCUCAAAGUACCAAACAAUAUUGCGUCCGAACUGAUACAUUGCCAAGUAUAUUUGAACACUGCAAGAUAAAAAUUGCCGUUCUACUUCCAUGAUAAAUUCUAAUCAAAGAACGUGAAGAUGUGGCUCGAAGAAAAGCGACACAGCGGCAGCUGUCACACGGUCGCCAUCCGGACGCCUCCCCACUCCGGCGUCGAGACGCGUUCUCAAUUGAAUUAAACCAGCGGGGCGCAAUUUCAAGGGAAGCUCCGCAACGGUGCCGAGAGACUUCGACGCUCUUUCCAGGCCUGCAUAAAAGCGACCGAGGGGACCCAGCGUUCGCCCUCCACCAGGACCGGCCCUGCUCGGGGGUGAAAAUCUCGGAGCUCGCGCUGAUUCGAGGAUCGAGACCAGCCAGG